rnacentral:rRNA from 1 species
UUCUUGAGUGUGUACUUGUUAAGCCUUUUAAGAAAAAAGUUAUUAACUUAAGGAAUUAUAACAAAGAAGCAACACGUAAAUGGAUUUUCCAUUUUUUAGUGUGUAUCAAUCGAGUUUCUGACCUAUCAGCUUUUGAUGUUAGGGUAUUGGCCUAACAUGGCUAUGACGGGUAACGGGGAAUUAGAGUUCGAUUCCGGAGAGGGAGCCUGAGAAAUAGCUACCACAUCUAAGGAAGGCAGCAGGCGCGUAAAUUACCCAAUUCUAAAGAAGAGAGGUAGUGACAAGAAAUAACAAUACAAGGCCAAUCUGGCUUUGUAAUUGGAAUGAUGGGAAUUUAAAACCUUCCCAAAACUCAAUUGGAGGGCAAGUCUGGUGCCAGCAGCCGCGGUAAUUCCAGCUCCAAUAGCGUAUAUUAAAAUUGUUGCAGUUAAAACGCUCGUAGUUGAAUUUCAAAGAAUCGAUAUUUUAAGUAACGCUUUGUAGAUUAAUCCACAUAACUAAUACUACGUAUCGACUUUGUGCGCAUUUUUCUACUUAUGUGUUCUUUUAAUUAAAAUGAUUCUUUUUAAGAUCUUUCUUUUUUGCUUCGGCAUUUUAGGAGAUCUUGUUACUUUGAGUAAAUUAGAGUGUUCAAAGCAAACAGAUUAUAGCAUCUUUAUGCGUUUGAAUACUACAGCAUGGAAUAACAAAAUUGAACAAGUCAGAAUUUUGUUCUUUUUUCUUAUUUUGGCUUAGUUACGAUUAAUAGGAGUAGCUUGGGGGCAUUUGUAUUCAGAUGUCAGAGGUGAAAUUCUUAGAUUUUCUGGAGACAAACAACUGCGAAAGCAUUUGCCUAAAAUACUUCCAUUAAUCAAGAACGAAAGUUAAGGGAGUGAAGACGAUCAGAUACCGUCGUAAUCUUAACCAUAAACUAUGCCGACUAGGC